rnacentral:rRNA from 1 species
AAAAAUAAAAUUAAUUUGAAUUUUUUAAGUGAAAUUUUAAAUUUAAUUAAUUUUAUAACAAAAAUUUUAAUGAAGCUAAAAAAUUUUAAUAAUAAACUAGGAUUAGAUACCCUAUUAUUUAAAAAGUAAAUUUAUAUACUUGAGUAGUAAUAGAUAUGAUCUUCAAACUUAAAGAAUUUGGCGGUGUUUUAGUCUAUUUAGAGGAACCUGUCCUGUAAUCGAUAAUCCACGUUGGACCUUACUAAAAUUUGUUGUCAAUUUGUAUAUCGCCGUUAUCAGAAUAUCUUAAAAGAGGAAUAAUUUUCUUAAUUUAUAAUUAUAAUUGAUGUCAGGUCAAGGUGCAGUUUAUAUUUUAGUAGAGAUGGGUUACAAUAAAUUUAUUUAUACAUUAAAUUGUUUGAAAUAAUGAUUUUAAGGUGGAUUUAAAAGUAAAA